CGAGCAUUAAGACCAUUCUUUGGAGGUGGUAGGGUUGAGUUGUGUACCCUGGGGUAACUCGGUCUUGAGGCGUGCACAUCCUUCCAUCCCCCGAGGGUUGUGCAGCCAAUAGUGUUCGUCCAGGAACGUUCCGUCUUCGGCUACUCUGGUUUAGUGCCCCUACAGUUAUCUCUGCCUCAGCCGCCGUCACAGAGUAAGGUUUCCCUAACGUACUUCGAGGAAAUGUGGGGAAGGUCCUGCCGUUCCAUUUCCUCAGACGGUGAGCUGUCUUCGUGUCGCUCAUCUACCAUGUCCAAAGUACGUGGUGGGUAAUAGUCUUCUUUGUCGGAAGAUUGUGGCGGAUGGGGUUUGGAUUCCCUAUUUGGUAUGUUCGAU